UAGGUUUCGGUUUCUUGGGUCGGACGUCAUGUUGCGCCUGCGCUGUCAGAUAGUGAUUUUCGCGGGCGCGGGAAAAAUGGGUGAAGAAGAAGCAGGAAGAGCGCCAUCUUUUAUGGGAUGUUAGUACAGGGAAGAAGCUAGGUGCAGAGAAUGCCAAGACCCUAGGGGAUAGUGGGAUGACAAGACUGUAGGAGCUAUCUGCCAACCAGAACACAUAUCUUGAACUGUUGUGGGAGCAAGAAACAAGCAUCUGUUGUAUUCGCAGCCUGUUAAGUGUGCCCUGUCUGCUGUUCACCACAGUCCCUGUGUUCCAAUUAAGAGAAGCCAGGGAAGUAAUCUCUUGAUGUUUGCCAAAUUGUCAGCCACUGGGGUGCUGUCAGCCACUGGGGUGCUGGACCACUUCUGGGUUCUAUGCAGCGUCAAGCAAGCUUCUUUUGAGUAAUUUACAGUUUUUGACAAUUGAGUAAAUACUCCCGUGAGCAAAAUUUGAAGCAUAUUUUUUUCUCUCUACCUGAUUUUGAGGCAGGAUAGGUAGUCAAAGAAGUGACCAUGUCCUCAGGACACAGCAACCAUGGUGACCAUACAAUUAACACAAUAAGCCUCAUCAUUCGGGUUGCAAUCGAGCUCAUUCAAGCAAAGCGAUCUUCAGAAGGGUUCUGAAGGGUGUACUGUGUAUUCUGCACCUAACUUUCAGAAUAUUCCUUUUCUUUGGCAAUAAAUUUCUUUUGUUGUGUG